UACAGAGGUCUCAAGCGUUGUUCGGAUUCAUUGGGCGUAAAGGGCGCGUAGGCUGCGGGGCAAGUCGGGUGUGAAAUCUCAGAGCUCAACUCUGAAACUGCACUCGAUACUGCUUUGCUUGAGGACUGGAGAGGAGACUGGAAUUUACGGUGUAGCGGUGAAGAUGCGUAGAUAUCGUAAGGAAGACCAGUGGCGAAGGCGGGUCUCUGGACAGUUCCUGACGCUGAGGCACGAAGGCCAGGGGAGCAAACGGG
rnacentral:rRNA from 1 species